rnacentral:lncRNA from 1 species
GGAGUCUUGUGGUCAACUCUGAUUAUAUAGUAAAGAUCAAUAUAAUCCACAUCAAGGCGUUGAAGGCUAGCCUCAAGUGAAGAACGAACAAAUUCAGGAGUGCCAUUGAUAACCGGACCACCUGGACCCAUGCUUUCAACACCGAAUUUUGUAGCCAACUGUACCUUCUCUCGUGGCAAAUGCUUCAAUGCCUGCAAAAAAGGUUUCCCAGAUUCCUUCAAAUCAUAUCGAUUUCAUAAACUAAAAAAAGCCAUCUCUCGCGCAUAUCUUCGAACAUGUAAUUGACACAAAAGUGUGGGACAUUGUGAGAGUGAAAGGAUCCCUCACAGUUCAAUGUAAUUCAACUUGAAGAGUUGAUCAAACAAAGGAUGUUACCUUUCCAACCAGAAUUUCGUUAGUUUUGGGUCCAUACAUGUCGGCUGUAUCGAAAUGAGUGAUUCCUCUUUCGAAUGCGUGCUUAAUGAUGGCUAUGCCAGCUUCAUCUGACACUGAAUUAUUGUGACCUGAAAGACCCAUACACCCAAAUCCCAGCUUUGAAACCUGUAAGCAAAAAACAAUGGAUUUUAGUUUUACCCCCGAAGAAAAAGCAUUUUCUUAACUAAUAAUAUAACUAGAAAGAAACACAAUCUCAAACCUCAAAUCCUUGAGUUCCAAGUUUCACUCUAGGAAUCUGAAUUGCCAUUUUUUGUUCCCUUUUUUUUUUUCUUCUUCUUCUUCUUCUUGGUGUUCUACAAACAAAGGCUUCUCUGAUUACCGAACAGCUCAAAACAUACCGUUAAAUAGAAGAUCUUGAGGCCUUUACCCAGAACCUUGUUCUUAGCUUUGUCAACAUUUGCUUACAUCAUUAUGGUGUCAGCCCGUAUGUAAUCGUUUUAGUCUACUAGAGAAAAAAACUAAUAAAUAAUCAUCAUCACAAAGAGGCAAAGCAUUUUUUCUUUAUCCAAAAAAAAAGGCAAAGAAUUGGUCAAAAGAUAUAUACAAUAAGUAAAUCAUGUCAUGUGUGUUAAUCAAUAAUCAGAUAAACAUCCUGAGAAAGGGGCCGUAAUACCUCCUUUCAUUCAUUUUUUUUCAAAGGUUCUUGUCUUUUUCUAGAAAGUCAAUGUUUUUACUGAAACAUUCAUAUUGCUGGUAAAAUUCUGCUAUUAGUAUAUCUAUUUUGCAAAUGUUGUUUAAUUUAAUCAAUUUUAAUUUUUAUAUUUUCCAGAUUGAUCAAUUUUAGUUUUUAUAUUUUUUGAGUUUUGAAAUUUUAGUCAUGACUCAGUUAAAUUUAUUUGGUUAAAUUUAAUUAUUAGACGUAGAAAUAUCAAGUUGACAUGACAUCACAUAUAUGACAAUAUGUUUAUAGUAUCAAAUUUUAGAAAUAGUAAAAUCUAACUUAAUGAAUUUAACGGUUAUAGUUUGGUGAGGACAAAAACAUUAAAAUUUAAAAGGUACAAGGUCUAAAAAUACCAAAUUAAAAUAGAAUUAAACCCAUAACUUUGUAAAAUAUAGGGACUAAUAGCUGAAUUUAACCUAUAUUGCUAUAACUUCAUUUUAUUUUAUAAAGCAACCAUUUUUCCUUUUUUGUCAACUUUUUUCACAUGUUUAUAUCGGUAUAUUAAAAAAAAAAGUUCAAAUAUCUAGAGAAUUUUAGAAUAUCAAUUUUUUGAAUAUAUAUAAAAUACAAAUGUUUCAAAAAUUAAUAAAUACUCAAAGCUGUGAAUAAAGAACAUAAGACGAAAUAAGUUGUUCGGAUUUUUUAAAUUAAAUGUAAAAUUAUUGCUUAAAUUAUAUUUUUAUUUUUAUUUUUUACUUUUAACUAUUUAAAAUGUUUUUUUGUCAAAGUUGAUAUUUAAAUUAUUAAUAUUGUCUUAUUUAUUUUUAAAUAUGAUAUUAGUCAAUAAAAACAAAACAUGUGAUACAUUUUUAUUAUAUGUCUCAUACUUUUUGCGAUAAAAUGAAACUAAAUUCAUAAUUUUUAUAUAUUUUUUUUAUAAAAAUCAAUAAAUAUUUAAGUGAGAAAUGGAUAUAAUUUAAAGUCAAAUUUUAUAGUUAAUUUUUCUUGCUUUUUUUUGAAGUAUUAAUUUAAUCUAAGGAUUUUUAAGUCUUCGUUAACUAUAUUUUUGUGCUAGGUAAGUUGGGAGAAACUACUAAGAACAAAUUUAUUGGGUUGAUUAGGGCAUUAAGUAUAUUUUUAUCUUAGUCGCAAAUUAAUUUAUAACGACACUAUUAAAAUUGAUCAUAAUCCAUUUAGUCUAAAUUUAAAUUUUGUUGGCUAGACAAGUAAAUCAUAUAAGCACAUAACUGAAUAAAUAAUUAAAAAAAUUGAAACAAUCAACGAGAAAAUAUGAUCCAUCAUUGUUUCAAGACAAUAAAGUUUAUUUCGUGUUGAAUUGAGCAAAUCACACAAAAAAAAAAUUAAAACAAAUUUGUAUAAAUACAACGUAAUAAAAAAUAAUAUAGAGAGAAAAAUAGUUAUAGAAUUUAUGCCAGAGUACUCCGAAUCUCUUUUUCUUUUAUCUUUGCAAUCUUGAAGUUUCUCUUGGUGUAGAGAGAGUUAUUUCUUAGCCUCUAAGUGAUUUCUUUUUAUUUUCCUUCUUUUUUUCCCUUAAAUCUCAUCACCACCGACCGCUUGCUAUCAAAUUAGUUGACAAACUUUUAAACAAAAUUAGUUGAGUCAGGACUUGAACAAUUUUGUAGACAUGUGUUGACUCAUAUUUAAAUAUCUAUACUGUAGAGUCUUUGAAGAUUAAAUCAUUCUAAGUAAACCCUCCAAUUAAAUGCAUCUUCUGGGUUUGUAUGUAAGGUUGAAGGUGGCUUCGAUGAAGGGAUCACGUCAGUUCUACGAUUCCGGUCCCGAGGCGUCAAUCCAAGCCUCCAAUCCAAAUUUAUCAAAACAAAAACCGAAUAAAAUGAGUUCUUAAAGAAAAUAAAGGGUUUAAAGUUUUUUUGGUCGAAAGAAAAGAUUUCCUUCCAAUUUUUUUCGGCCACUGUCAAGGUUACUCGGCCGUCAGAACUCGAAAAUUUUGGGAUCUCCGGCAGUGGAGCCGGCCGAUAGCAAUCAACAGGGGCAGCCGCAUCUUUAGAGAAAAAAUAAGGUGUUUUGGUUUUCGGCAGAAAUAAUGAUUAGUAUAUAUAUUGAGCCUUUUGGUUGGUAUAUUUGUUAAUAAGUCCUUCCGUUCUGUUUUUUAUUUUUAGGAUUUCCGCAUUUUAAAACGACAAUUUUGGUCCUUGUGAUUUUUGCUUCGUUUUUCAAUAUUGCAAUUUUCGGCUGGAAAAAUUACCGGAUUAGUCCACUGACUUUAUAUAUAUUAAAAAAUAUUUUAUGAAUUAUGAUUAUUUUUGGUAUAUGUUAUGUUUCUUCGUUUUACUUGAAUUUUGAGAUUUCUUUUAGGUUAUGUUAGAUUAUAUUUAGAAUUCUUUGACCUAGAUCUUGAGAUUCAAAUAAUAUACCUUUUAAAAAAAAUAAAUCUUAGGAUUUAAAUAGGUUAAAGUUUUAUUUUUCUAAUUUAGAUGUUCAAAGAGGUUAGAAGUUUGUUUUUCUAAUUUAAAUCUUAGGAUUAAUUUAGAUCUUAGGAUUUAAAUAGGUUAGAAUCUAAUUUAGAUAUUAGCAGGGGUGAAGUCAAAAAAAAUUUUUAGGAGGUCAAAAUUAAAUUGUAAUUUUUACGAUAGUAAAAAUGUAAUUUCACCAUUUUAAUAGUCUAUAUAUUUAUAAUUGUUAAAUGAUUAAAUCAAAUUUUUAUUAUUUUAGGAAGUCAAAGUGUAAUUUUACCUUUUCUAAUUUAAAAUACUAAAAAUUAUAAAUGACCUAAAUAGAAAAUUUUUCAUUUUUCGAGCCUGGGGCUCUCCCAGCCCCUAGAUGUUAGGAUUCAAUUUAUAUUUCUAAUUUAAAUCUUAACAUUCAAAUAGGUUAGAUUUCUCUUUCUUUACUUAGAUCCUAUGCUAUAGAGGUUAGAAUUUUAAUUUUCUGUCAAUUCUUAUAGGUUAGAAUUUAAACUUCCAUCAAUUAGAUUUUAAAGUUUUAUUAUAUUAGAAUUAAAAUUGAUUAGCUCGGAUAUUCUGAUUUUUUUAAUAAUAUUAAAUUUUGAGCAGUUUAAAUUUCGAUUUAGGAUUAUAGGAGUCAAUUUUGAAAUUUUUGAACUAGAAAUCUUUAGCACCAAAUUUUAUAGGAUUAUCUUUAGAUAGGCGUUGUAAGAAUGCUAUAAUCUUUCUUACAUUUAAUUAUACUCUCGAACUUCAAUUUUGGUGCGAGUCUGAAUCUAAUUUUUUAAGAUUUUUCCUCAAGAAUAGUUCUAAAGUCGUAGGCAAUAGGCAAUUAACUGACCUAAUUUAAAUUGGUUAAUGACGAUCCUAUUGCACGUUGGGCCAAAAUUCAUGUAUAAUUUAUAAAUACACUACUUAUCCUUAAAUUUUAUUUAAAAUGAUUUUUUGUUUGAUUUAUAUUAUGUUAUCUAUUUAAAUUUUUGCAGAUUUGAAUAUUUGACGAGUAAUAAUACUUAAUUCAAAUAUGAAUAGUUAUACUCAGAUAAUUUAUAAAUUUAAAUUUUUAAGUAAAUUUACGGAUUUAAAUAAUAGACAGAAGUUUAAGCCAAUAAAGGUUAGUGAGAGUAUACCACAUGUAAGUCCUUAAACUACACAAGAGGUGCUCAACCAUAUAUUAUAUAUUUGCAUCAUUUCGACAACUUCCCAAACCAACUAAACUCUCUAAUAAACUUAUCUUAAAAAACUCAAACCCCAAAUUUGAAUUCGUCAUUGUUCUCUUUUUGAAAUUUAGGGUCUCAACUUUCUAAUUGUUUUUAUAUUGUUUUUAUAUUGCGAUUUGAACUAUUUUCCUAAUCAAAUUAAUCUUUAAAUUAGUAAUUACACUUACAUUUAAGUCUGAAUUUUUUUUCUAAGUUAAUAUUUGAAUUUAAUUGUUCUUAAAUUAAGAUAUGAUUUUUUUAAAACAAAUAUGAAGGACUAACUUUGAUAGAAAAAAUUUAAAUUUCAAGAAUAAUUUUCAAAUUCAAGGAUUUACUUAGAAAAAGAAUUUAUUUGCUUGUAUUAUAAAACUUUCACUUUAUGAGAGAAGAUAAGGUUACAAAACCAAAUUAAAUAUUAACAAUUGAGCUUUGAAAGAAAUAAUCUGUGAGUAAAAUAGUUUUUAAUUGAUUGAGGAUAGAGUGAUGUAAUUCAGUUGAGUCUUUUCAAAGUUAAAAUUGGAAGUAAAUGAUUGAGUAGAAUUUAUAAAUGUACUUUUUUUGAAGUUCUUGAGAAAAGUUAAAUGAUAUUUUCAUUAAAAAUUAAAAGUAAAUAUUUUAACUAAUGCAUGACAAUGACUUUAUUGUGCUAUAAGUAAGUUGUUUAAGUACUAUGUUAGUCAAUUCAAAUGAGAGAACAGAGAGAUCAAGAACUAUAUUAGAACAAUAAAAACAUACAUUGAUUAAACAAUAGCUACAACUCUAUUCGUCCAAGUAAACACUUACACUUAAUUAUUUCAAACAACUAAAAAGAACACGAUACAAAAUAUGACACAACAACAUCAUAAAUACUGAACCCUCCAUUAAUGACAAUCCAAACUUUAGUAACUCAUCAAUCUUUCAAUGGCUGCAGUUUCUUGGGAAAUCCAUUCAUCCCAACACCCAUGAAGCUUUGCUUCUAAACCUAGGUCCUCUUGUUUGGUGGUGUAUUGCCAUAUUUCCAAGUGAAUUGCUUUAAACCUUCAGGAUAAGUACCCCCUGCAACCUCAUGGAUUGGGAUCGCAUCUGUAAUUUCUUUCAAAUCUUCUUUUGUCAGCUUUACUUUCACUGAUUCAAUGUUGCUGUCUAGAUUUUUAAUCUUGGUUGUUCCUGUAAGAAGUGAAAACAAUGUGUCAAAAGCUUUGGUUAUAUAUAUAAAUUGGCCUUUGGUACAGGAUUUUUCAGGCCAUUCUUAGUUACUGGAACUUGUAUCAGAGUGUCCAACACAGAUAUGUUCAUUUUCCUAAGGUUUUACAUAUAUCUGGAGGAAUAUGCUAGAAAAUUCUAUGCUAUUUCUGCAGGUUACUAACUUACUCCGACUGUUUUUUCUUCAAGUAUCCGUGUCUAAUACCCAACAUAUUUUGACAUGAGUAUUGAAUACAAUUCUCCAAAUAUAUGAAAAUUUUCAAAAAAAUAUAAGAGUUCACUUAUAUUGGAUCACCUCGGAAUUCAAGUUGAAAGUGAUUGAAUGGGACUUACCGGGAAUAGGAGAAACAUCAUCCCCUUGAUGAAGAACCCAGGCAAGUGCAAGUUGUGCCGGUGUACAUCCAUGCUUUCCAGCCAACUUCUCUACUUUCGAAUAUAGGAUCCUAUUUUGCUCCAAGUUUUCUCCUUGAAACCUUGGGAACACUCCCUUAAAAAAUAAAUGUUUGUAAUGAGUCAACCGAUCUGUUUUUUUUACAACUUAGAAGCAUGUUACUAUGUUAUCCGAAUUCUUUAUUUUCUUUAAUUACUCAUAUCCAACAUGUCUCUGACACAUAAUUGGAUAUAAGUAUGAGAGUAACAUCCUUCAAAUAAAUGAAAAUGAAACUUAAAAAAUGUUUUUUUUACAACUUAGAAGCAUGUUACUAUGUUAUCCGAAUUCUUUAUUUUCUUUAAUUACUCAUAUCCAACAUGUCUCUGACACAUAAUUGGAUAUAAGUAUGAGAGUAACAUCCUUCAAAUAAAUGAAAAUGAAACUUAAAAAAAACUGAAUAUAUUCAUGUCGCACACAUAUCUGUAUCCAACACUUACUCCUGAACCCAUAUAACAUAGAUUAAGUAUAGGUUAAAGCUAUAUAAAGUGAGUUUCCAUACCAGAGAACUAUUAGAGGUAUCCUCCUUCGCUUUACCGGCAAAGAAACCAUGACCAAGGGGACUAUAUGCAACAAUCCCAAUUCCGAGUUCCCUGCAUUGUUGAACACAUUUAGGCAGACAUAACCUCAGAGCAGUUGAAGGACUUAAAACAGUUGAUAACUUGAGAAAAGACAAUCAAUAAGUGAAUUUCAAUCUAUUUGAGCAAAAGGGUAUAUUUAUAUCCCUCCAAAUAUAUAAAAAAUUGAAUAUACCUAUAUUCGAAAAAAAAAAUUACGAUGAUUGAAGAUAGAAGAAUAAACCUGCAAAGGGGAAUUAGUUCUUCCUCAACAUCACGAGUCCAGAGCGACCACUCAAGUUGUACAGCAGUAAGAGGAUGAACAGCGUGUGCCCUCCUUAUAGUUUCGGGGCUAGCUUCAGAUAUGCCAAUGUACUUUAUUUUUCCCUCUUCCACCAACUUCUUCAGUUCUUCCAUCUAUCAUACAUGAAAUAAAUAUAAAUUAUGCUUAAUUUUCCCAUAAACAAAACAAAAUUGUAUUUGUGUUAAAGAAAGACAAAAUAGGGUUUUUAAUGCAGCAAUGCUUACGGUAUCUUCUAUAGGAGUCUUGCGGUCAACUCUGAUUAUAUAGUAAAGAUCAAUAUAAUCCACAUCAAGGCGUUGAAGGCUAGCCUCAAGUGAAGAACGAACAAAUUCAGGAGUGCCAUUGAUAACCGGACCAUCUGGACCCAUGCUUUCAACACCGAAUUUUGUAGCCAACUGUACCUUCUCUCGUGGCAGAUGCUUCAAUGCCUGCAAAAAAAGAAAUGAUGUUGAUUUCCCAGAUUCCUUUAACGAGCCAAGAACCAGAAUGAAAACAUUAAAUCAUAUCGAUUUGAUAAACUAAAAAAUUCCAUCUCUCACGCAUAUCUUCGAAUAUGUAAUAGACACAAGAGUGUGGGAAAUUGAGAACAUGAAAGAAUCGCUCUCAGUUUCAA